rnacentral:rRNA from 1 species
GAUGAACGCUGGCGGCGUGCCUAAUACAUGCAAGUCGAGCGAACAGACGAGGAGCUUGCUCCUUCGACGUUAGCGGCGGACGGGUGAGUAACACGUAGGUAACCUACCUAUAAGACUGGGAUAACUUCGGGAAACCGGAGCUAAUACCGGAUAAUAUUUCGAACCGCAUGGUUCGAUAGUGAAAGAUGGCAUUGCUAUCACUUAUAGAUGGACCUGCGCCGUAUUAGCUAGUUGGUAAGGUAACGGCUUACCAAGGCAACGAUACGUAGCCGACCUGAGAGGGUGAUCGGCCACACGGGAACUGAGACACGGUCCAGACUCCUACGGGAGGCAGCAGUAGGGAAUCUUCCGCAAUGGGCGAAAGCCUGACGGAGCAACGCCGCGUGAGUGAUGAAGGUCUUCGGAUCGUAAAACUCUGUUAUUAGGGAAGAACAAACGUGUAAGUAACUGUGCACGUCUUGACGGUACCUAAUCAGAAAGCCACGGCUAACUACGUG